rnacentral:rRNA from 1 species
GACGAACGCUGGCGGUGUGCUUCACACAUGCAAGUCGAACGAGGUAGCAAUACCUAGUGGCGGACGGGUGAGUAACGCGUGGGAAUCUGCCUUUAGAUGGGGGAUAACGGGUCGAAAGACUCGCUAAUACCGCAUAUGACGAAAGUUGAAAGGAGUAAUCCGUCUAAAGAUGAGCCCGCGUCCGAUUAGCUAGUUGGUAGAGUAAAAGCCUACCAAGGCGACGAUCCGGUAGCUGGUCUGAGAGGAUGAUCAGCCACAAUGGGACUGAAGACACGGCCCAUACUCCUACGGAGGCAGCAGUGGGAAUUUUACGCAAUGGCGAAAGCCUGACGUAGCGACACCGCGUGAGCGAAGAAGCCCCUUGGGGUGUAAAGCUCUGUCAGCUGGACGAAAAAAUAGACGGUACCAGCAGAGGAAGCAUCGGCUAACUACGUGCCAGCAGCCGCGGUAAU